rnacentral:tRNA from 1 species
AUUUGUAUAGCUUAUAUAGAGCGUAGUAUUGAAGAUACUGGGGAAACUAAUUGUUUGCAGAUA